UACGGGGGGGGCAAGCGUUGUUCGGAAUUACUGGGCGUAAAGGGCUCGUAGGCGGCCAACUAAGUCAUACGUGAAAUCCCUCGGCUUAACCGGGGAACUGCGUCUGAUACUGGAUGGCUUGAGUUCGGGAGAGGGAUGCGGAAUUCCAGGUGUAGCGGUGAAAUGCGUAGAUAUCUGGAGGAACACCGGUGGCGAAGGCGGCGUUCUGGACUGCAACUGACACUGAGAAACGAAAGCCAGGGGAGCAAACGGG
rnacentral:rRNA from 1 species